UGCUGUUACUCUCGGAAAAAGAUUACAACUCCCUGAAGGUUCAGAUGAUGGUUAGCAUUUUUUAUCAAUAAAGUAUUUUUUAAGUAACGUUAAGUACGUAUAUUUUUAGACAUAACAGUGCAUGCUUAAUAGACUACAGUAUAAUGUAAAUGUAACUUUUAUAUACGCUGGGAAACCAACAACUUUGUGACUCACUUUAUUGCUAUGUUUGGCUUUACUGCAGUGGUCUGGAACCAAACUUGCAAGGUGUCCAAGGUCUGCCUGUACACCACGUGGGCCUACAGCUACGGAACCUACAUCAUAUACGUCUAUACUCACGGAACCUGCAUCUAUGGAACGUACACCAUACGGACCUACAUUUAUGGAACCUACACCUAUGGACCUAUAUACCACAUGGACCUAUACCAUAUGGAGGAACCUACACCUAUGCAUCUACAGCUAUGAAAGCUACAUUUAUAUACCUACACCCCCUGGAACCAUAUGGUCAGCAUGUCGAUAUGGAGUGAUGUGGAACCAUCCCAAGACUUACCGUUAAGUAAAGAAAGAGCUAUACAUGUGAAAGGGAGACCCUGUGCUCCCAGCUGUGCAAAGCGUGUUCCCACAUGCACAGUAGCAUCCGGAAGAACAUACAAAAAAAAUCUCCCAAGAGCGGCCUCCGCUGGGGGAGUU